AUUGAAAGCUGGCGGCAGGCCUAACACAUGCAAGUAGAACGAGUGGCGGACGGGUGAGUAAUGUCUGGUAAACUGCCCGAUGGCGGGGGAUAACUACUGGAAACGGUAGCUAAUACCGCAUACCAUCGGAUGUGCCCAGAUGGGAUUAGCUAGUAGGUGGGGUAACGGCUCACCUAGGCGACGAUCCCUAGCUGGUCUGAGAGGAUGACCAGCACAAUCGGAACUGAUACCCGGUCCAGACUCCUACGGGAGGCAGAAGUGGGGAAUAUUGCACAAUGGGCGCAAGCCUGAUGCAGCCAUGCCGCGUGUAUGAAGAAGGCCUUCGGGUUGUAAAGUACUUUCAGCGAGGAGGCGUUACUCGCAGAAGAAGCAUCGGCUAACUCCGUGCCAGCCGCCGCGGUAAUAC
rnacentral:rRNA from 1 species